ncrna:unclassified sequences GP20-b RNA
CGCUGACCGCGGGCGUAAACGGCGGAGCGGUACGGGAUGCGACCCCGUAAAAAGCGUA